GAAAUUGUGCAUCCCUACCUGAUCCGAGGUCACCUAGGUUAAAAGAUUGGUUGCGAGGCUAGCUGCCAGCUGGACCUACGGGAGCGGGUGACAAAGCCCCAUACGCUCGAGGACCAGACAUGGUGCCGCCACUGCCUUUUGGGCCCGUCCCCGUUGCCAGGGACGGAAGCCCAACACACAAGCCGUGCUUGAGGGCAGCAAUGACGCUCGGACAGGCAUGCCCCCCGGAAUACCAGGGGGCGCAAUGUGCGUUCAAAGACUCGAUGAUUCACUGAAUUCUGCAAUUCACAUUAAUUAUCGCAUUUCGCUGCGUUCUUCAUCGAUGCCGGAACCAAGAGAUCCGUUGUUGAAAGUUUUAACGAUUGUUUAACUAAAAACUCAGACUGCAAACUUCAGACAGCGUUCAAAUGUUAGUCUCCGGCGGGCCGUGGCCACGCCGAAGCAACAGGGUACAGAUAGACACGGAUGGGAGGUGGGAUCCAAACAGGCAGGGAUCCGCGAUGAACCUUUCGAAAUUUUUACUUGGGAGAAAAGAGCCCCCCAGGGCCCCCCCACCUUAUAAUUUAUUCGAUA
rnacentral:misc_RNA from 1 species